GGAGAGCUGGCUGAGUGGUUGAUAGCUCCGGUCUUGAAAACCGGUAUAGUUCGAAAGAGCUAUCGAGGGUUCGAAUCCCUCUCUCUCCU
rnacentral:tRNA from 1 species